UACGUAGGGCGCAAGCGUUGUCCGGAAUUAUUGGGCGUAAAGAGCUCGUAGGCGGUCUGUUACGUCCGCUGUGAAAACCCGGGGCUUAACCCUGGGCUGGCAGUGGAUACGGGUAGACUAGAGGCAGGUAGGGGAGAAUGGAAUUCCCGGUGUAGCGGUGAAAUGCGCAGAUAUCAGGAGGAACACCGGUGGCGAAGGCGGGUCUCUGGGCCGAUAUUGACGCUGAGGAGCGAAAGCGUGGGGAGCGAACAGG
rnacentral:rRNA from 1 species